UGGGGAAUCUUGCGCAAUGGGCGAAAGCCUGACGCAGCAACGCCGCGUGAGCGAAGAAGGCCUUCGGGUUGUAAAGCUCUGUCAGGAGGGACGAAGCCACUCGGGUGAAUAGCCCAGAGGGUGACGGUACCUCCAGAGGAAGCCCCGGCUAACUACGUGCCAGCAGCCGCGGUAAUACGUAGGGGGCGAGCGUUGUCCGGAAUCAUUGGGCGUAAAGCGCGUGUAGGCGGCUUGGCAAGUCCGGUGUGAAAGCUCGAGGCUCAACCUCGAGGCUGGACUGGAAACUGGCUUGCUAGAGUCCGGGAGAGGAGACUGGAAUUCCUGGUGUAGCGGUGAAAUGCGCAGAUAUCAGGAAGAACACCGGUGGCGAAGGCGGGUCUCUGGGACGGUACUGACGGUGAGACGCGAAAGCGUGGGGAGCAAACAG
rnacentral:rRNA from 1 species